rnacentral:rRNA from 1 species
AUUUAACGAUGGAUUACCAGUGAGCGGCGGACGGGUGAGUAACACGUGGGCAACCUGCCCUGGAGCGGGGGAUAACAUCUGGAAACAGGUGCUAAUACCGCAUGACUACUAAAACCACAUGGUUUUAGUAUAAAGAAGGCUUCGGCUUUCACUCUAGGAUGGGCCCGCGGUGCAUUAGCUAGUUGGUAAGGUAACGGCUUACCAAGGCGAUGAUGCAUAGCCGAGUUGAGAGACUGAUCGGCCACAAUGGAACUGAGACACGGUCCAUACUCC